rnacentral:rRNA from 1 species
CUUACCGGCGCGGUGGCCUGGUCUUCAUUGAUCAAGCUCGCUGUCGCUGGAGACUCCACGUCCGCUGGCUCCUAGUCCUCGUGGCUAGGGUUUUGUGGACAAUUACCAUGAGCAAAUCAGAGUGUUUAAAGCAGGCUUUUAAGCUUGAAUGUGUUAGCAUGGAAUAAUGAAAUAUGACUUUAGUCCUAUUUUCGUUGGUUUAGGUACUAUAGUAAUGAUUAAUAGAAACGGUUGGGGGCAUUUGUAUUUGGCCGCUAGAGGUGAAAUUCUUGGAUUGGCCGAAGACAAACUACUGCGAAAGCAUUUGACCCAGGACGUUUUCAUUGAUCAAGGUCUAAAGUUAAGGGAUCGAAGACGAUUAGAUACCGUCGUAGUCUUAACCACAAACUAUGCCGACCAGAGAUUGGGCGUGUUUCUUUUGACUCGCUCAGCAUCUUAGCGAAAGUAAAGUUUUUGGGUUCUGGGGGGAGUAUGGGACGC